rnacentral:rRNA from 1 species
GAUGAACGCUGGCGGUCUGCUUAACACAUGCAAGUCGAACGGACCCUUCGGGGUUAGUGGCGCACGGGUGCGUAACGCGUGGGAAUAUGCCCUUAGGUGAGGAAUAACGUAGAGAAAUUUGCGCUAAUACCUCAUAAUGACUCCGGUCCAAAGAUUUAUCGCCUAAGGAUUAGCCCGCGUCAGAUUAGAUAGUUGGUGAGGUAACGGCUCACCAAGUCGACGAUCUGUAGGGGGUCUGAGAGGAUGACUCCCCCACACUGGUACUGAGACACGGACCAGACUCCUACGGGAGGCAGCAGUGAGGAAUAUUGGACAAUGGAGCAACUCUGAUCCAGCCAUGCCGCGUGAGUGAAAGAA